rnacentral:RNase_P_RNA from 4 species
CUAGUAAGUUAGGUAAUCGCCCCCCACCAAAUUUUGGUGGGGGGAGGAAAGUCCGAACACCAAAGAAGAUAGCGGGUAACGCCCGUCGACCGUGAGGUUAGAGGUGCGAACAGAGACGCCUUAGAACCUGAAAAGGUUCGGGUGCCCGUCCGGCCGAAAGGCGGAUUAGGGCGAGUCCCAAAGAAAACUUUGGGGGUGAAACGGCUAAAUCCUUAUCAGGUGCAAGAAGAAACUCUUUGGCCAAUCUCCGGAUUUGUCCAAAGAGAAAGGUACUUCGCUUGAGCUAAAGAGUAAUCUUUAGCCCAGAUAAAUGAUUACCCUCGACAGAAUUCGGCUUAUCGACUUGCUAGGACU